UGCAUAUCCAGUGCUUUUUGGUUUUCCUUUCGGUAACAGUGAGGCUGACUCUUCUGUUCAAAGAGGAAACCACUGACCAAGAAGGGACUAAGGUGGUUUCCAGAAGGCGGAUGGAAGGAGGCCUCUCUCUUCCCAGGCCAGGCAGUGACGCAUAGAUCGAAGCAAAGAAACAAAACCAUCCUGAAGGAUGCUUCCCUGGAACCCUGACAACAUGUUGUGAGGAAGCCUGUGCCACAUAAAGAAGCUGACAUAGAGAGGAACUGAGCCCUUCCUCUAGCAGACAGUACCAAUUUACCAGCCACGUGAGUGCCAUCUUGGAAGUGGGUCCUCCAGCUAUAGUCAAACCUUCAAAUAAUUACACCUCCAGCCAACAUGUUCUUGUUACUUCAUGAGAAACUCCUAAACCAGAACCUUUCCCAAAUUCCUAGCUCACAGAAGCCAUAGGAGACUUUUGUAGUUUUUAAGCCACUAAGUUUUGGGGUAAUUGAUUAGGGAGUAUUUAUGUGAACCAGAGUAAUGCCAUCUUGGACAAAUCAACUCUUAUAACCCCUCUGUGACCUGAAGCCUUCUUCUUUUUUUUUUUUUUUUUAAGAUAUUAUUUAUUUAUUUAUUUGUCAGAGAGAGGGG
rnacentral:lncRNA from 1 species